CAAAAUGUGUUGAUUAGAAAUAGUAGAAGUGAAAAGACCUCUCAGAGAGCCGCUGGUUGGUGCGAAGCGGCAGUGUUGAUCGCUUUGAACUCGUCUAUGAGCAGCUGCCUGACAAUGUAGGGUAAGCCGGGGUUCCGCCGUUACAAGGAUAGAUGGUGUCAGCCGUCGAAAAAGAUCAUUUCGCAUGUUUUGAAAUGAAUUAGAGUGGUACCGCGGGUUAAACCUCGUCUCUAUG
rnacentral:ncRNA from 1 species